UACGCUGGCGGCACGCCUAACACAUGCAAGUCGAACGAAGUAGCAAUACUUAGUGGCAGACGGGUGAGUAACAUGUGGGUAUCUACCCUUUGGCCUGGAAUAACACGAGGAAACUUGUGCUAAUACCGGAUAAGUCUUUACGGAGAAAGCUUUAUGCACCAUUGGAUGAGCCUGCACUUGAUUAGUUAGUUGGUAGGGUAAUAGCCUACCAAGACUUUGAUCAAUAGCUGAUUUGAGAGGAUGAUCAGCCACAUUGGGACUGAGACACGGCCCAAACUCCUACGGGAGGCAGCAGUGGGGAAUCUUGCACAAUGGAGGAAACUCUGAUGCAGCGAUGCCGCGUGAGUGAAGAAGGCCCUUGGGUUGUAAAGCUCUUUCGUCGGGGAAGAAAAUGACUGUACCCGAAUAAGAAG
rnacentral:rRNA from 1 species